GCCCGUCGGGAUCGCCCCCCGUCAGCGAGCGUUCGCCCACGGGGGCGUUUGCC
rfam:Oceanicola granulosus HTCC2516 scf_1099521380027 genomic scaffold, whole genome shotgun sequence.